ACUUGCUUGGCGAGCGCGGCGUGCUGGCCGCCAGCGAACUUGGCGAGCGUUUUGCCAUGGUGGAGCGCCUGUGGUUCGGCUCUGCCGGCAUGCGC
rnacentral:tRNA from 2 species